rnacentral:sRNA from 1 species
CUCAAAGUCUACUUCCUAACCUUUCACAGCAUCUUGCCUUUAUCCCCCAACAGCAAACCCCGAGAUAGCAGCUGCCAACAUCUAAGCUCGAAGAACCCAAUCUCAAUCCCCAGCUCAUUUCACUCAACCCCAAGAACUGAACCGCUGAAACGGGCUUAUAAAUAUAGGGCCAAGGAUUUUGGGAAUUAUUACACAUUGACGUCAUCGCCGAGCUCAGGCACAAAUAUGCUGACGAACACACGGACAUCGAACCCGUUUCGCCGUUCUCCGCUCGUCCUCGGCCGUCGUUGUUUCGCUUGGUCCGGUCGGUGGAGAUCAAUUGUGUCUUGUUUUAGACCUCAUCCUUUCCGCCUCCUUCAUCUUUCUGUGCCGUUAGCCAUUCGCCGGCAUCAUUUUCGGAUUUGGCCGAUCAGAACAGCGAGGAGGGAGCGUAGUUGUGCAGUCAUUGGAAGCAAGCGAGAAGUGGCAACUUCAUCGUGUUGUUGCUUUGUGGUUUCUCUUUCUUCUGCUUCUGCCUUUCUCUGUAUUAUUCUGCUUGUUGCUUGUUGCUUCUUGUUGCUAAUGCUUAUGGGGUUAGUCUGAUCAUGUGUGCAUUGCAUACAUACAAUCAAUGAGCCUAGCCUUCCUGAUUGCUUUGGGUAUUUGGUGAAGAGGAUGCGCAAAAUGGCCGUGGAUGGAGGAUAUUACACGAAUGCGAAUAAAUGCGAAUGGUCAAGGCCAUGUUGUGAAGUCAUGAACCAGGUCACAUUUCUCUACUUCGUUGAGAAAACACCCCUCCUGCGGCUUUUUCUAGGUUGGCUUUCGACAAAAAGACAGCAGGAGGGAGGUUUUCAUUGAGCUGAGUACAAGAAUGAAGGCACGUACGGCGCUUAUUUAUUAGGCAUUUGCUGUCUUCUGGGUGUGAAUCAUAAACGCUCACAGGAUUUAGCGAUUAACAACUUGAUUAUUCAACACUAAGGAUAAGCCCUACUAUCGGAUGGAGACAUUUCCAGAUCUCAGAUAGCGGGGCGCACGAUUCAAAUGGCAGUUUAUGUAAAUGGAAAGAACGCGGUCUGGCUUUGACAUAUCAAAAAAAAAAAAACUUGGCCCACAGCUCGCAUCCAUCAUCCGUAAGACUUGCUUCUCAAGGCCGGUGAGUCAAGGGAGAACUAGGCCAUUCAUUGUCCCUGUUGGGCUGUGCGGCCUAAACUCCCAUCCACAGAUACGCCGUACGAAUGCAUGUCUCGGUAUUCCUUUCGUUGUGAUUUCCUAGCUUGAGCUGGAAAGUGGUUCCUCUUCCUCCUUUGUCGUCGUCAGGCGCAGACUGUCAUACAUUCGCGGUUCCUGAUACGACUCACAUCGUCAUUCUGGAUUUUGAAUACAUAGAGAAUCGAAACGAAGGAGAAUUUGUUAUUGCGAUAUUCGUCUAUGCAUGGAACCUGGC